GACGAACGCUGGCGGCGUGCUUAACACAUGCAAGUCGAACGGAAAGGCCCUGCUUUUGUGGGGUGCUCGAGUGGCGAACGGGUGAGUAACACGUGAGUAACCUGCCCUUGACUUUUGGAUAACUUCAGGAAACUGGGGCUAAUACCGGAUAGGAGCUCCUGCUGCAUGGUGGGGGUUGGAAAGUUUCGGCGGUUGGGGAUGGACUCGCGGCUUAUCAGCUUGUUGGUGGGGUAGUGGCUUACCAAGGCUUUGACGGGUAGCCGGCCUGAGAGGGUGACCGGCCACAUUGGGACUGAGAUACGGCGCAGACUCCUACGGGAGGCAGCAGUGGGGAAUAUUGCACAAUGGGCGGAAGCCUGAUGCAGCAACGCCGCGUGCGGGAUGACGGCCUUCGGGUUGUAAACCGCUUUCGCCUGUGACGAAGCGUGAGUGACGGUAAUGGGUAAAGAAGCACCGGCUAACUACGUG
rnacentral:rRNA from 1 species